CCUACGGGAGGCAGCAGUGGGGAAUAUUGCACAAUGGGGGAAACCCUGAUGCAGCGACGCCGCGUGAGUGAAGAAGUAUUUCGGUAUGUAAAGCUCUAUCAGCAGGAACGAGACAAGACGGUACCUGACUAAGAAGCCCCGGCUAACUACGUGCCAGCAGCCGCGGUAAUACGUAGGGGGCAAGCGUUAUCCGGAAUCACUGGGUGUAAAGGGAGCGUAGACGGCUGUGCAAGCCUGAAGUGAAAGGCGGGGGACCAACCCCUGGACUGCUUUGGGAACUGUACGGCUGGAGUGCAGGAGAGGUAAGUGGAAGUCCUAGUGUAGCGGUGAAAUGCGUAGAUAUUAGGAGGAACACCAGUGGCGAAGGCGGCUUACUGGACUGUAACUGACGUUGAGGCUCGAAAGCGUGGGGAGCAAACAGGAUUAGAUACCCGAGUAGUC
rnacentral:rRNA from 1 species